UACGUAGGGGGCGAGCGUUGUCCGGAUUUAUUGGGCGUAAAGAGCUCGUAGGCGGCUUAGCAAGUCGGGUGUGAAAACUCCAGGCUCAACCUCGAGAUGUCGGCGGAAACCAUUUGGCUAGAGUCCGGAAGAGGAAAGUGGAAUUCCUGGUGUAGCGGUGAAAUGCGCAGAUAUCAGGAAGAACACCCGUGGCGAAGGCGGCUUUCUGGGACGGUACUGACGCUGAGACGCGAAAGCGUGGGGAGCGAACAGG
rnacentral:rRNA from 1 species